rnacentral:rRNA from 1 species
UACAGAGGUGGCAAGCGUUGUUCGGAAUUACUGGGCGUAAAGGGCGCGUAGGCGGCUCGACAAGUCCCGCGUGAAAGCCCCCGGCUCAACUGGGGAACUGCGCGGGAAACUGUCGGACUUGAGUUCGGGAGAGGGAAGCGGAAUUCCGGGUGUAGCGGUGAAAUGCGUAGAUAUCGGGAGGAACACCUGUGGCGAAAGCGGCGCACUGGACCAUAACUGACGCUGAGGCGCGAAAGCUAGGGGAGCAAACAGG